UUGGUGGGGAUAAUGGCAGACACUGGGAGGGCUCACGACAAGUAGUACUUCCCAGAACUUCUGCUGCCAGUGUCCUUGUCCCUGCAGUGAGCCACAGUCACCUCCCAUCUGCAGGAGACCCUCGAGCACUAGCAGCCAAUGAAAGAAACCUGC